rnacentral:rRNA from 1 species
AUUGAACGCUGGCGGCAGGCUUAACACAUGCAAGUCGAACGAGUGGCGGACGGGUGAGUAAUGCUUGGGAAUCUGGCUUAUGGAGGGGGAUAACUACGGGAAACUGUCGCUAAUACCGCGUACCAUAGGAUUGGCCCAUUUGGGAUUAGGUAGUUGGUGGGGUAAUGGCCUACCAAGCCGACGAUCUCUAGCUGGUCUGAGAGGAUGACCAGCCAAACCGGGACUGAGACACGGCCCGGACUCCGACGGGAGGCAGCAGUGGGGAAUAUUGGGCAAUGGGGGCAACCUGACGCAGCCAUCCCGCGUGAAUGAAGAAGGCCUUCGGGUUGUAAAGUUCUUUCGGUGAAGAGGCGGUAUUCACAGAAGAAGCACCGGCUAACUCCGUGCCAGCAGCCGCGGUAAUAC